GUGACAUUUGGCUGUGGCCUCCCUUACCCUAUUGGUUGUCAAGUUGGAUUUAGCUGAUCAGGCUGGUUAGGUGGGCGUCUCCUUCCUUCC
rfam:Felis catus isolate Cinnamon breed Abyssinian chromosome B2, whole genome shotgun sequence.